rnacentral:rRNA from 1 species
ACAUGCCUACAACAUAGCAUUAAUUCAUUGGAUCCCAUUAGAACUCUAUAGUUAAGCGCGCUCGAGCUAGAGUAGUACUGGGAUGGGUGACUGCCUGGGAAGUCCUAGUAUUUUACAUGCC